GUAGGUGGCAAGCGUUGUCCGGAAUUAUUGGGCGUAAAGCGCGCGCAGGGCGGUCCUUUAAGUCUGAUGUGAAAGCCCACGGCUCAACCGUGGAGGGUCAUUGGAAACUGGGGGGCUUGAGUACAGAAGAGGAAAGCGGAAUUCCAAGUGUAGCGGUGAAAUGCGUAGAGAUUUGGAGGAACACCAGUGGCGAAGGCGGCUUUCUGGUCUGUAACUGACGCUGAGGCGCGAAAGCGUGGGGAGCAAACAGGAUUAGAUACCCUGGUAGUCCACGCCGUAAACGAUGAGUGCUAAGUGUUAGGGGGUUUCCGCCCCUUAGUGCUGCAGCUAACGCAUUAAGCACUCCGCCUGGGGAGUACGGCCGCAAGGCUG
rnacentral:rRNA from 1 species